AGUCAGCCCUUGGAAGAAGGACAGGUUGGGUGCAGAGCUAUCCACAAUCUCACCACUGGAUACUAGAUUAUGAUGACAGCUGGGGAUCCUGGGCUGUUAGUUCAAUAAUGGGUGGCAUUCAUCAGGAAGACUCUUACCAGCAAUGGGCCUAUAAGUUUGUGAGGAAUUGUGACAGAGAUGGGUACAGAAGGCAGGAAAAGAAGCUCAGUUCUCAAGGUAACCUUGCUCAGCCAGCUGGAGCAAGUCAUGAGUUGCCUGUAUCCAUAAACACUUAGCCUCUAUUGCCUACUUUGCCCCAAAACACAGGGCCAUGGCCAUAGAUUGAGAAGUCGCUAGCCUCUAUAGAAAAAUAUCUUUAUGAUGACCUUGUUGCGAAUGUCUUAUCAUUUAGGCCAUCCAUAUUUCCAAUGGCAUAUAGACCCAAACGUUUCUUAUCAACACUGCAUUUGUAACUGCAUAAAUAUAUUUAUUCCAUUCAAAAUUUUUUAUAGUGUAUUUAUAACAAAUGCUGUAUGAACAAGGCAGGCUUAGUGCUCUUCCUUGUGGAGUUUACAUCUAGUUAGAAGACAAUGCAAUAAGUCUUUUGUUGCUGCAGUAUUGCCUGACUUGGAGCUACAUAACAGAGGCACCUAACUCAUCUUGAAGCUGGUGCAGUUUCUUUAGAUGCAAAUAAGAGAGAGCAGAAGAUUAAUUCCUGCAGAGGGAUGACCAUAUGCAAAGGUCCAGUGGCAAGAGAGAGCAUGACUCUGAACUGGGAAACAGCCCAUGGAAAAAGGCAUCAUGCUGUAAGUGAGGGCACUUAAAUUAGGCAGAAAAAAAUCCACACCAAGAGCCCUGCUAUUUUGCUGACUGAUGUAAAGAAAGAAGGUCCAAGAACAGGGCCAUGGGCUAUUAAAUCACCCUAUCUACACACACAUAUACACAUACACCACCACGACCACCGCUACCACACACCACACAUCCACUGCAGGACAAGGAUUUCAUUAUAGUGAAACUUCACAGACGUAGAUCAAGUAACAUAGGACAAGGGUCUAAGCUCAGAUGGCUGCUGUUUCUGCAAGUUUCUGGUUUAUCCAGCCUAUUAGACUGUGGCCAGAUGUACUGUGUUACCUACAUAAUCCUUAUCAGCAGCAUUCCAUCUGUGUCAUCCAAGUAGCAGGAAUAAGCAGGCACCCUUUUGGAAAGUGGCCCAAAGGGUACAGAAAGCAGGUACGCCUUGGAGGCAUGUAACCCACAUCCCUGCAAGUCAGGAGAGAAGACAAACACAUUGAGUUUCUGCCCCAGAUACUCACUUGAAUUGCUCCUGCAUUCCAGAGAGAGGUUGGUGGGGGGAAAUUUGGAGGUUAGCUGUGGGCCUUGGAGUGAUGAUUACUUUGUAAUGGAACAAAUUAAAUUAUGUGAAAUUUUAGAUGCUUUCCUCCUGCCCUAGUGGCUCCCAAUCUAUUUAGGGGUAGUCAGAAAAAGGGGACCUUCACAACAGCUGCUUAGCUGCUUGAGCUCAGAGAGGAAACCCAUAAUUUGUCUGUAAUCCCUAAUGCCAACAGUUGUUCAUUAAGAAACAAAACUAAUGUAAUCUUGAUUAUUUGCUCAGAUUUCUACUCUAUCAUGUUUUGUGCAUCUGGCAGGCUAAUGUAAUUUUCCUCAGAAACCCAAAGCAAUCUGGUGCUCAGACAACACCAUGCAGAUUUAGGUAAAUUCCAGGCUCAGAUUAGCAUAAUACUAACUAAUCACGAAUAUUAUUUGCAUUCAUUAGAGUGUUGGGGAAAAAUUGUUUCUAAAUGGCAGAAAAUUGAAAGAAGGAUUAAGGGCAAGAGCUUGAAAAUCCUGUUUGGCUUGAUACGACUAUAUUACAGAUGAUUUUUCUCUUACAAGGCCUAAUAUUUAAUGUGGAAGUAUUAAUUAGAGUAUUGGAAAAAGAUUGCAUCUAAUUGGAAGAAAACUAAGAGAGAUUAAGGACCGGGCAUAUGGACUUGCUUUUGCUUGAUUCAAGUGUGGAACAGAUAAUUUCCCAUGCAAUGCCAAGGAGCUUAAAUGUGUAAAAGAUAGGGUGAUUAAUUUUUCAGAAAGAACCAAGCCUUUUUUUUGAGAUAACAGAGAAACACAAUUUCGUUCCUUAUGGAGUAACAAGUUAUCGGUCAGUGCCUUUGUUUUUGUGAUCAAGGAAAGAAGGUAACAGAAUUAAACUCCUGAAUCUGAAAUACUCCCAAAUAAAGGGGAAAUCCCAUAAAGCCCACACACUGGGCAAACCUUAAAUCACUGGUAAUAGAUCCCAAAUGUUGUACUGAUUUAAAUAAUAAUAAUAAAAAGAUUCAACCCCCA